rnacentral:lncRNA from 1 species
GACAACCAGAGACUAUGUGUUUAUCUAGUAUAUUCCAUGUAUAUCUGUAACAUAGUGUUUAUCCUUAUCCUUAUCUUGUUAGGAUAAACAUGACCUUAUGACGGUCUAAUACCUUGUAUAUAUAUGGACCUUCUGGUCGACAGUAAUAAUGACAGAAAUAUUUCCCAACACUUCAUUUACAACACGUUAUCAACACGAUAGACUCCAAAACCCUGA